rnacentral:tRNA from 1 species
GGCCGAUUAGCUCAGUCAGUAGAGUGUGGCGGUAACAACGCUAAGGUCGUGGGUUCGUUUCCCCUUCGGUCC